CCCAAAAUUACUAGUGUAAAACCAUUCAAACGAGAAAAAUAAUGGUCUUAUCUAUAUAAAAACGAGAAACACGUAUAAAUUACAUAAACAAACGACAACUACUGUACAUCAGAUUCCUGACUUAGGACAGGUGCAAACAUUUGCAGCGGGAUUAAACGUUUUAAUGGUACCGAACCUUCUCCCUUUUUCUGAAACAAUAGUAUAACAUCGCAAUAUAGAAAAACACACGAUAAAAUAUCAAU
rnacentral:lncRNA from 1 species